rnacentral:rRNA from 1 species
GACGAACGCUGGCGGCGUGCUUAACACAUGCAAGUCGAACGGAAAGGCCCUGCUUUUGUGGGGUGCUCGAGUGGCGAACGGGUGAGUAACACGUGAGUAACCUGCCCUUGACUUUGGGAUAACUUCAGGAAACUGGGGCUAAUACCGGAUAGGAGCUCCUGCUGCAUGGUGGGGGUUGGAAAGUUUCGGCGGUUGGGGAUGGACUCGCGGCUUAUCAGCUUGUUGGUGGGGUAGUGGCUUACCAAGGCUUUGACGGGUAGCCGGCCUGAGAGGGUGACCGGGCCCAAUGGGGCUUGAGUUAGGGCCAGGAUCCUAAGGGGGGGCAGAGGGGGGGAUUAUGCAACAAGGGCGGAAGCCUGAUGCAGCAACGCCGCGUGCGGGAUGACGGCCUUCGGGUUGUAAACCGCUUUCGCCUGUGACGAAGCGUGAGUGACGGUAAUGGGUAAAGAAGCACCGGCUAACUACGUG